AUGACGAUAUCGCUGCCGGCGACGGCGGCGGCUCUGUCCGUCGUCCUCGCCGCGCUCUGCCUCCUCGUGGUCCCGGCCGCCGGGUUCUACCUCCCGGGCGUCGCGCCCAACGACUUCGAAAAGAAAGACCAUCUCCCUGUGAAAGUCAAUAAACUGACUUCAAUUAAGACACAACUUCCCUACUCCUUCUACUCUCUCCCAUUCUGUAAGCCAGAUACGAUCGUUGACAGUGCUGAAAAUCUGGGUGAAGUUCUCCGUGGGGAUCGCAUUGAGAACUCUCCAUAUGUGUUUGAAAUGAGGGUACCUCAGAUGUGUCAAAUAGUCUGCAAGAUUUCAGUUGGGGAAAAAGAAGGAAAGGUUCUCAAGGAAAAGAUUGAAGAUGAGUACCGCGUGAACAUGAUUCUUGACAACCUACCUCUAGUUGUUCCUAUUCAAAGAGUGGAUCAAGAAGGUGCUUAUUUCUAUCAACAUGGGUUCCAUGUUGGAGCCAAAGGACAAUACUCAGGGAGUAAGGAUGAAAAGUACUUCAUCCACAAUCAUUUGUCCUUUACGGUGAAAUAUCACAGGGAUGCACAAAGGGAUGUUUCUAGGAUAGUGGCCUUUGAAGUAAAACCCUACAGUGUGAAGCACGAAUAUGGACAGUGGAAUGACAGGAAGACUCAUCUGACCACUUGCGAUCCGAAUGCGAAACGUAUAAUUACAUCAUCUGAUUCUCCUCUGGAGGUUGAAGCUGGCAAAGACAUUGUCUUCACAUACGAUGUGGAUUUCAAGGAGAGUGAUAUCAAGUGGGCAUCUCGCUGGGAUAGUUAUCUGCUGAUGACAGAUGAUCAAAUCCAUUGGUUCUCCAUUGUAAAUUCUCUCAUGAUCGUUCUCUUCCUUUCCGGAAUGGUUGCAAUGAUCAUGCUUCGAACCCUUUAUCGGGAUAUCUCCAAGUAUAACCAGCUUGAGACUCAGGAGGAAGCCCAAGAAGAAACUGGAUGGAAGCUUGUUCAUGGUGAUGUUUUCAGGCCGCCUGCCAACUCUGAUUGGCUCUGUGUUUAUGUUGGUACAGGUGUCCAGUUUUUUGGCAUGAUGCUUGUCACGAUGGUCUUUGCAGUCCUUGGCUUCCUUUCUCCAUCCAACAGAGGUGGACUGAUGACAGCUAUGCUCUUGCUUUGGGUUUUCAUGGGUUUGCUUGCUGGCUACUCUUCUUCACGUCUUUACAAGUUGUUCAAGGGCUCAGAGUGGAAGAACAUUGCCUUGAGGACAGCAUUCACCUUCCCUGGCAGUGUGUUCACUGUUUUCUUCUUCUUGAAUAUUCUUAUCUGGGGGCAGAAGUCCUCUGGUGCAGUUCCAUUCACCACAAUGUUUGCCCUUGUCCUCCUUUGGUUUGGUAUCUCGGUGCCUUUAGUGUUUGUUGGGAGUUACCUUGGUUUCAAGAAACCAGCCAUUGAAGACCCAGUGAAAACAAACAAGAUUCCCAGGCAGGUACCUGAGCAAGCCUGGUACAUGAACUCAAUCUUUUCGAUUCUAAUUGGAGGGAUCCUUCCAUUUGGAGCUGUGUUCAUUGAGCUCUUCUUUAUCCUGACCUCCAUCUGGCUGCACCAAUUCUACUACAUCUUUGGGUUCCUCUUCCUUGUCUUCCUGAUUCUAAUCGUCACAUGUGCCGAGAUCUCGAUUGUGCUCUGCUACUUCCAGCUAUGCAGUGAGGAUUACCUGUGGUGGUGGAGAUCAUACUUGACAUCAGGAUCUUCUGCCCUGUACCUCUUCCUGUAUGCGACUUUCUACUUCUACACAAAGCUGGAGAUCACAAAGUUUGUGUCAGCCAUCCUUUACUUCGGCUACAUGCUCAUCGCCUCAUAUGCGUUCUUUGCCUUGACGGGUACAAUUGGAUUCUAUGCCUGUUUAAUGUUCACUAGGCUGAUUUACUCGUCUGUGAAGAUUGAGUAA
rnacentral:rRNA from 1 species